rnacentral:rRNA from 1 species
UGUGGAAUAUUGCACAAUGGGCGCAAGCCUGAUGCAGCCAUGCCGCGUGUAUGAAGAAGGCCUUCGGGUUGUAAAGUACUUUCAGUCGGGAGGAAGGUGGUAAGGUUAAUAACCUUAUCAAUUGACGUUACCGACAGAAGAAGCACCGGCUAACUCCGUGCCAGCAGCCGCGGUAAUACGGAGGGUGCAAGCGUUAAUCGGAAUUACUGGGCGUAAAGCGCACGCAGGCGGUUGAUUGAGUCAGAUGUGAAAUCCCCGGGCUUAACCCGGGAAUUGCAUCUGAUACUGGUCAGCUAGAGUCUUGUAGAGGGGGGUAGAAUUCCAUGUGUAGCGGUGAAAUGCGUAGAGAUGUGGAGGAAUACCGGUGGCGAAGGCGGCCCCCUGGACGAAGACUGACGCUCAGGUGCGAAAGCGUGGGGAGCAAACAGG